GCAGGGUCCGCUCGAGUUCGGGCCCCUGUGAACCCGGUCAGAUCCGGAAGGAAGCAGCCGCAGCAGGAUUCUGGCUGCGAGUGGGUUCGCCCUG
rnacentral:SRP_RNA from 1 species